GUGCAUAGUGCGGGUGCUAUACAUGCAAGUCGAACGAAACUUUCUUACACCGAAUGCUUGCAUUCACCGUAAGAAGUUGAGUGGCGGACGGGUGAGUAACACGUGGGUAACCUGCCUAAAAGAAGGGGAUAACACUUGGAAACAGGUGCUAAUACCGUAUAUCUCUAAGGAUCGCAUGAUCCUUAGAUGAAAGAUGGUUCUGCUAUCGCUUUUAGAUGGACCCGCGGCGUAUUAACUAGUUGGUGGGGUAACGGCCUACCAAGGUGAUGAUACGUAGCCGAACUGAGAGGUUGAUCGGCCACAUUGGGACUGAGACACGGCCCAAACUCCUACGGGAGGCAGCAGUAGGGAAUCUUCCACAAUGGACGCAAGUCUGAUGGAGCAACGCCGCGUGAGUGAAGAAGGUCUUCGGAUCGUAAAACUCUGUUGUUAGAGAAGAACACGAGUGAGAGUAACUGUUCAUUCGAUGACGGUAUCUAACCAGCAAGUCACGGCUAACUACGUGCCAGCAGCCGCGGUAAUACGUAGGUGGCAAGCGUUGUCCGGAUUUAUUGGGCGUAAAGGGAACGCAGGCGGUCUUUUAAGUCUGAUGUGAAAGCCUUCGGCUUAACCGGAGUAGUGCAUUGGAAACUGGAAGACUUGAGUGCAGAAGAGGAGAGUGGAACUCCAUGUGUAGCGGUGAAAUGCGUAGAUAUAUGGAAGAACACCAGUGGCGAAAGCGGCUCUCUGGUCUGUAACUGACGCUGAGGUUCGAAAGCGUGGGUAGCAAACAGGAUUAGAUACCCUGGUAGUCCACGCCGUAAACGAUGAAUGCUAGGUGUUGGAGGGUUUCCGCCCUUCAGUGCCGCAGCUAACGCAAUAAGCAUUCCGCCUGGGGAGUACGACCGCAAGGUUGAACUCAAAGGAUUGACGGGGGCCCGCACAAGCGGUGGAGCAUGUGGUUUAUUCGAAGCACGCGAAGAACUUACAGGUCUUGACAUCCUUUGACACUAAGAGAUAGGCUUCCCUUCGGGACAAGUGACAGUGGUGCAUGGCUGUCGUCAGCUCGUGUCGUGAGAUGUGGGUUAAGUCCGCACGAGCGCACCCUG
rnacentral:rRNA from 1 species